UACGGAGGGUGCAAGCGUUAUCCGGAUUUACUGGGUUUAAAGGGUGUGUAGGCGGACUUUUAAGUCAGGGGUGAAAUCCCGAGGCUCAACCUCGGAACUGCCUUUGAUACUAUUGGUCUUGAAUGUUGUUGAGGUGGGCGGAACGGGUCAUGUAGCGGUGAAAUGCGUAGAUAUCUGGAGGAACACCGGUGGCGAAGGCGGCAUCCUGGACCGGUAUUGACGCUGCUGCGCGAAAGCCAGGGGAGCAAACGGG
rnacentral:rRNA from 1 species